CAUGUAGGAGGUUCGUUAAAUACGGGGUGAAAUCCCGAAGCUCAACUUCGGAACUGCCCUGUAGACUGAUGGACUAGAGUACCGGAGAGGUAAGCGGAAUACCAGGUGUAGCGGUGGAAUGCGUAGAUAUCUGGUAGAACACCAAGAGCGAAGGCAGCUUGCUGGACGGAAACUGACUCUGAAAGACGAAAGCAUGGGGAGGCAAACA
rnacentral:rRNA from 1 species